rnacentral:rRNA from 1 species
GUGCCAGCAGCCGCGGUAAUACGUAGGGCGCGAGCGUUAUCCGGAAUUAUUGGGCGUAAAGAGCUCGUAGGCGGUUUGUCGCGUCUGCCGUGAAAGUCCGGGGCUUAACCCCGGAUCUGCGGUGGGGUACGGGCAGACUAGAGUGCAGUAGGGGAGACUGGAAUUCCUGGUGUAGCGGUGAAAUGCGCAGAUAUCAGGAGGAACACCGAUGGCGAAGGCAGGUCUCUGGGCUGUUACUGACGCUGAGGAGCGAAAGCAUGGGGGAGCGAACAGGAUUAGAUACCCUGGUAGUCC